rnacentral:rRNA from 1 species
AUUGAACGCUGGCGGCAUGCCUAACACAUGCAAGUCGAGCGAGCGGCGGACGGGUGAGUAAUGUCUGGGAAACUGCCUGAUGGAGGGGGAUAACUACUGGAAACGGUAGCUAAUACCGCAUACCAUCAGAUGUGCCCAGCUGGGAGUGGCUAGGAGGUGGGGUAAUGGCUCACCUAGGCGACGAUCCCUAGCUGGACUGAGAGGAUGACCAGCCGCACUGGAACUCGGACACGGUCCAGACGCCUACGGUAGGCAGCAGUGGGGAAUAUUGGACAAUGGGAGCAAGUCUUAUGCAGCCAGGCCGAGUGUGGGAAGAAGGCCCUCGGGUUGUAAAGCCCUUUCAGCGGGGAGGCGUUACUCGCAGAAGAAGCACCGGCUAACUCCGUGCCAGCAGCCGCGGUAAUUC